rnacentral:rRNA from 1 species
UACACACCGCCCGUCAAGUCAUGGGAGCUGAGGGUGCCCGAAGUCGCUUGUCCAACCGCAAGGAGGACGGCGCCGAAGGCAAACUUGGUGACUGGGACU